GAUGAACGCUGGCGGCGUGCCUAAUACAUGCAAGUCGAGCGAACAGAUGAUGAGCUUGCUCCUCUGACGUUAGCGGCGGACGGGUGAGUAACACGUGUAUAACCUACCUAUAAGACUGGUAUAACUUCGGGAAACCGGAUCUAAUACCGUAGAAGAUAUUGAACCGCAUGGUUCAAUAGUGAAAGACGGUUUUGCUGGCACUUAUAGAUGGAUCCGCGCCGCAUUAGCUAGUUGGUAAGGUAACGGCUUACCAAGGCUACGAUGCGUAGACGAACUGAGAGGGUGAUAGGCCACACUGGAACUGAGCCGCGGUCCAGACUCCUACGGGAGGCAGCAGUAGGGAAUCUUCCGCAAUGGGCGAGAGCAUGACGGAGCAACGCCGCGUGAGUGAUGAAGGUCUUCGGAUCGUAAAACUCUGUUAUUAGUGAAGAACAAAUGUGUAAGUAACUAUGCACGUCUUGACGGUACCUAAUCAGAAAGCAACGGCUAACUACGUG
rnacentral:rRNA from 1 species